CAGCGCCACGAGUGGCAAUCGUUUAUUUGGCCUAAAGCGUCCGUAGCCGGUUUGGCAAAUCUUCUGUGAAAUUGUGCAGCUUAACUGUACAGCGUGCAGAAGACACUACCAAGCUUGGAACCGGGAGGGGUACAGAGUAUUCCAGGGGAAGCGGUAAAAUGCUAUAAUCCCUGGAGGACUACCUAUGGCGAAGGCACUGUACCAGAACGGAUUCGACGGUGAGGGACGAAAGCCAGGGGAGCGAUCCGGAUUAGAGACCCGAGUAGUCC
rnacentral:rRNA from 1 species